UGCAAAGCGUAGCUUGUCAUUUUAUGCAAAGCCUAAAGUAUUUAAUCUUUCUCUGUUUCUUUGCUCGUUCUUCUUUUCCUGUGUGAUUCAUAACGAUGGCUCGCCGAAGUCGGAGCUCCGGAGGAAGUUCAGGUUCUCGUCCUACUACUGCCCGUCGACCCAACCCUCCCCAGCCCGCUGCUCCAGCUCCACCACCGCCUCCUGUACAUGGUGCUAAUGGAUCCAUGAUGGGAGGUUUUGGUGCUGCUGUUGUUGAUGGCUUGGCUUUCGGUACCGGUGGUGCCGUGGCUCACAGGGCUGUGGAUGCUGUCCUGGGCCCACGAGUUGUCCAUCAUGAAACUGCAGCUACUCCAGUGCCGAACACAAACAAUUAUGGUGAUGUGUGUGGUGGCCAAUCCAAGGCCUUACAAGAUUGCUUGAACAACUAUGGAAGUGACAUCAGCAAGUGCCAGUUCUACAUGGAUAUGUUGCAAGCAUGCCGCAGGGGCUAUGGGGCUGCAUUGGGUGCUUGAAGUUGAUUGUGAUGAAAUCCUUUUAUCCAUCUUGUAGUUAGUGUUUGAUAGGUGAUGUUUUGUCUUAAUCUUGUGAUCUGACGGAAACGGUUUUUUUAGCUGGUUCAACUCACCACUCUUAUGCAUGUUCUAAAGAAUAUAAACUAAACCUGGAAAGCUGAUUAGCAGUAUUUGAUUUUCCAAUUCUAUAUUUUGCUUAUGGUGGAUGA
rnacentral:misc_RNA from 1 species